CUGUCAGGGCUAGAGACUGGAGUUCUCUGUUCAUUCAUAUACCAGGUAAGGUACAAACAGGCAAAAUGCAAAUCCGUCUGUGAGUAAUCAAACAUUUGGCCUGGGGGAAGAACCCAGUUAAGAGAAGGUAGUUCAUUUUUCCUCCCUGCUGCUUUAUUCCCCAGCC
rnacentral:sRNA from 1 species